rnacentral:rRNA from 1 species
GACGAACGCUGGCGGCGUGCCUAACACAUGCAAGUCGAGCGAAUGAAGUUCCUUCGGGAACGGAUUUAGCGGCGGACGGGUGAGUAACACGUGGGCAACCUGCCUCAUAGAGGGGAAUAGCCUUCCGAAAGGGAGAUUAAUACCGCAUAAGAUUGUAGUACCGCAUGGUACAGCAAUUAAAGGAGCAAUCCGCUAUGAGAUGGGCCCGCGGCGCAUUAGCUAGUUGGUGAGGUAACGGCUCACCAAGGCGACGAUGCGUAGCCGACCUGAGAGGGUGAUCGGCCACAUUGGGACUGAGACACGGCCCAGGACUCCUACGGGAGGCAGCAGUGGGGAAUAUUGCACAAUGGGGGAAACCCUGAUGCAGCAACGCCGCGUGAGUGAUGACGG